UUUAUUGAAACUUCGGUCGAUUUAAUUUAAUUCUAGUGGCGGACGGGUGAGUAACGCGUGGGUAACCUGCCUUAUACAGGGGGAUAACAGUCAGAAAUGGCUGCUAAUACCGCAUAAGCGCACAGAGCUGCAUGGCUCAGUGUGAAAAACUCCGGUGGUAUAAGAUGGACCCGCGUUGGAUUAGCUUGUUGGUGGGGUAACGGCCCACCAAGGCGACGAUCCAUAGCCGGCCUGAGAGGGUGAACGGCCACAUUGGGACUGAGACACGGCCCAGACUCCUACGGGAGGCAGCAGUGGGGAAUAUUGCACAAUGGGGGAAACCCUGAUGCAGCGACGCCGCGUGAAGGAAGAAGUAUCUCGGUAUGUAAACUUCUAUCAGCAGGGAAGAUAGUGACGGUACCUGACUAAGAAGCCCCGGCUAACUACGUGCCAGCAGCCGCGGUAAUACGUAGGGGGCAAGCGUUAUCCGGAUUUACUGGGUGUAAAGGGAGCGUAGACGGUGUGGCAAGUCUGAUGUGAAAGGCAUGGGCUCAACCUGUGGACUGCAUUGGAAACUGUCAUACUUGAGUGCCGGAGGGGUAAGCGGAAUUCCUAGUGUAGCGGUGAAAUGCGUAGAUAUUAGGAGGAACACCAGUGGCGAAGGCGGCUUACUGGACGGUA
rnacentral:rRNA from 1 species